UUCUUUGCUGACGAGUGGCGGACGGGUGAGUAAUGCUUGGGGAUCUGGCUUAUGGAGGGGGAUAACGACGGGAAACUGUCGCUAAUACCGCGUAAUGUCUAAGGACUAGAGGGUGGGACUUUCGGGCCACCUGCCAUAAGAUGAGCCCAAGUGGGAUUAGGUAGUUGGUGGGGUAAAGGCCUACCAAGCCGACGAUCUCUAGCUGGUCUG
rnacentral:rRNA from 1 species